rnacentral:rRNA from 1 species
AUUGAACGCUGGCGGCAUGCCUUACACAUGCAAGUCGAACGGCAGCACGGGAGCAAUCCUGGUGGCGAGUGGCGAACGAGUGAGUAAUAUAUCGGAACGUGCCCGGUCGUGGGGAUAACGUAGCGAAAGCUACGCUAAUACCGCAUACGAUCUACGGAUGAAAGCGGGGGGAUCGGCAAGACCUCGCGCGAUUGGAGCGGCCGAUAUCAGAUUAGGUAGUUGGUGAGGUAAAGGGCUCACCAAGCCGACGAUCUGUAGCUGGUCUGAGAGGACGACCAGCCACACUGGGACUGAGACACGGCCCAGACUCCUACGGGAGGCAGCAGUGGGGAAUUUUGGACAAUGGGCGCGAAGCCUGAUCCAGCAAUGCCGCGUGCAGGAUGAAGGCCU